rnacentral:lncRNA from 1 species
CGGCGUUCAACCCGGACUCACAACUCCUCUUCCCGGCAGGUCAAAGCAGGGUCCUGCCGCCGGUUUUCGACCAGUUUUUCGACGGUGCCGAAGAGGGAGUGGACCCGAGAGCGCAGAUUAAACAUGAGAGCAAAGAGCAGAAAGAGACGAACCGGGCCGAAUGCACGAGCUGUCACACCGGGGAGAGCAAGGUGAGGGCGGGGUCAGAGUCCCCCCAUCCUGGGAAGGAAGACGAGGAGGAUGCACCCUUAUCCAGCGGCAGUGGAGGAGACUGCAGUCCUGCCCCGACAGAGCCCUGUGUGAGGAGGAAGAAGCGGUGUCCUUACUCCAAGCUGCAGAUCCGAGAGCUGGAGAGAGAGUUCCUAUUCAACAUCUACAUCAACAGGGACAGACGCUUGUGGCUGUCCCAUCGUCUGCACCUGACAGAUCGACAGGUGAAAAUCUGGUUCCAGAACAGAAGAAUGAAGGAGAAGAAGCUGAAGAGAGAGAGAACGCUGUACCACGCAGGAUAUCACCUGUUCUUCUGAUGAAUGACGGCAUACACAAAGUGUGUGACAACUCUGCAAACCACGUCACAGGUUAAGUGAGACAUCCAUGAAGGUAAAAGCGAACAGAUAAAAGGAUAAAUGCAGAUCCUUCCUGCCAUUAAAAGGAGAACUCGAACAUCCUGAGCGUUAAAACAAACACCUGCUCUGUUGAAUAUCCUGCAUCGCUCCUGAUGUUCACCUGGAAAACACCCAGAAUGCUCCUCUUGCCUUAAACCUGACUUCCCUGUGAGGUCACGUGGCUGAGUGUGAAGAAAUGAACGCUCUCGGCCUCGGACCUCCGUGUCCUAUAAAUACUGAGGAAUGCAAAUACAUUCAAAAAACUAAAUCUGGAGAAGCAUCAACACAGAAGCUCUUUAUACGCUCGGCCAUGGCGUCUCGUGUUUUGGACUCCACACGUCUGUUUGACUGAUUUCUCUUCCUGUGUGCUUUGAUGUUGACAAUCAUAUGUGUUUAAAUUCUAUAUUUAUCUGAAUUGAUGUCCCGAUUAUGAAUUAUAAAUCCUCUUGCUGUUCAUGUGCAUUUGUAUAUAAUUAAAGGUAUAUAACUAAUGGCAAUAGCCUAUACUUAUACCUCAUAAAAUCUAAUUUAACCAUCUAUUUAGCAUAUUAAUAUAAUCACAAGCGAAGACAAUCUAAAUUAAUUAAUUCUUCUUAUUAUC